GGAUUAGAUACCCUGGUAGUCCACGCCCUAAACGAUGUAUGCUUGGUGUUGGAGCGCAAGCUUCAGUGCCGGAGGAAACCCAUUAAGCAUACCACCUGGGGAGUACGAUCGCAAGGUUGAAACUCAAAGGAAUUGACGGGGGCCCGCACAAGCGGUGGAUCGUGUGGUUUAAUUCGAUGCAACGCGAAGAACCUUACCUUGGCUUGAACUGUAGGAAGUAGGCGUCCGAAAGGACAACCACCCGUUAAGUCGGGAGCCUGCAGAGGUGCUGCAUGGCUGUCGUCAGCUCGUGCCG
rnacentral:rRNA from 1 species